rnacentral:pre_miRNA from 1 species
UAAGUACUCCCUCCGUCCCAAAAUUCUUGUCUUAGAUUUGUCUAAAUACAGAUGUAUCAAGUCACAUUUUAGUACUAGAUACAUCCGUAUCUAGGCAAAUCUAAGACAAGAAUUUUGGGACGGGGGAGUAUUCC